rnacentral:rRNA from 1 species
AUGGACAUGGACGCCGCGCAUGGCCACUACCCGUGGCUCAACUUCUCCCUCGCUCACCACUGUGAGAUGGAGGAGGAGGAGCGGGGAGCGGCCGCCGAGCUGGCCGCCAUCGCCGGGGCCGGGCCGCCGCCCAAGCUCGAGGACUUCCUCGGGGGCGGCGCCAACGGGAGGAAUAAUAAUGACGCCGGCCGCGGCGACCAGGUUGUGUCUGCAGCGACCGCCGAGAUGUACGACUCAGAGCUCAAGUUCUUGGCCGCCGGAUUCCUGAGCGGUGCUAGUGGAACCACGGCACCCACUAUCUCCCCAGCGGCGGCUCCUCAGGAGCAGGCCGACCCGAAGAUGACGGCCCCGACGCCGGAGCAGAAGAAGGCCGUCGACUCCUUCGGGCAGAGGACCUCCAUCUACCGUGGCGUCACGCGGCACCGUUGGACGGGUAGAUACGAGGCGCAUCUGUGGGACAACAGCUGCCGGCGUGAAGGCCAGAGCCGCAAGGGCCGCCAAGUUUACCUCGGUGGCUAUGAUAAGGAGGAGAAGGCGGCAAGGGCGUACGAUCUCGCCGCGCUGAAGUACUGGGGGUCUAGCACCACCACCAACUUCCCGGUUGCCGACUAUGAAAAGGAGGUGGAGGAGAUGAAGCACAUGACACGCCAGGAGUUUGUAGCUUCACUUAGGAGGAAGAGUAGUGGAUUCUCCCGUGGCGCUUCCAUAUACAGGGGUGUCACAAGACAUCACCAGCAUGGUCGAUGGCAGGCUAGGAUCGGACGUGUUGCUGGCAACAAGGAUCUAUACCUCGGAACAUUCAGCACGGAGGAGGAAGCCGCGGAAGCCUACGACAUUGCGGCCAUCAAGUUCCGGGGCCUGAACGCCGUCACCAACUUCGAGAUCGGCCGGUACAACGUGGAGAGCAUCAUCAGCAGCAACCUCCCGAUCGGCAACAUGUCCGGCGGCGCGGGGCGGGGCAGCAAGGCCCUGGAGUCCAGCUCCCCGGAAGCCGCUCCAUUGCCCGUCGAAGCGCCGCACUCGCUGGCGUUCACGGCGCUGCCGAUGAAGUACGACCAGCAGCAGCAGGACUACCUCUCGUUCCUGGCGCUCCAGCACCACCAGCAGGGCAACCUGCAGGGGCUGGGCUACGGGCUCUACAGCUCCGGCGUCAACCUCGACUUCGCCAACGCCGGCCCCGGCGGCGCCAUGGCGCCUCACUGCUACGGUAGCAACGGCGUCGACUUGCACCUUCAGCAACACGACCAUCAGCAGGAGCAGGAGGGGGAGGGGCAGCAGCAGCAGCAUGAUCAGCAUCAGUCCAUGGGGUUCGGCGCGUCGACGCCCAUGGCGGCUUUCAGCAGCGGUGGGCCCUACGAAAGCUCGGUGACGGCCGGGUCCUUUGGAUACUAUCCAAAUGUGGCAGCCUUUCAGACGCCGAUCUUUGGAAUGGAAUGA